GAUGAUAGAUAGAAUUUAUUAGAGUGACUUACAGGCUAUGGUCCAGCUAGUCCAAAAAUGGCUUUCUCCCAAUAGAAAGUUCAAGAAUCCAGUACUUGUUCAGUCAACAAGGCUGGUUGUAUCAGUUGGUAUUCACUACACUCUGGAACCCUGAAGAAGCAAUCCCCAGUGUCGGUGAAGCAAGAGCAGAAGCAAGCAUGCAGAGAGCAGAGGUCUUUCCCUUCCUUGUCCUCUAUGUAGGCUGCCAUGAGAAGGUGUGGCCCAGAUUUAGGAUAGUUCUUCCCACCUUGAGCGAUUGGGAUAUAAGGUAAGUCUUCCUACCUUAUGAUCCAAUUAACUAAAAAUACCCUACAGGUGUGCUUAGUGACUUGACUUUUUAGUUAAUUCCAAAAUGUAGUUGACAACCAUGAAUAGCUGUCACAGGGCCACGCCUUGAAUACCUGUGUUCAUGUAAACAAGUUCUUUUUCUAAUGGAGUACCUCAGCUCUGUCAGUCACAGCACCAUCUCAACAAGUCUUUAUCUUUCCUCCAUCAUGUCCAACUUGUUUAAUAUAUA
rnacentral:sRNA from 1 species